UACGUAGGGUGCAAGCGUUAAUCGGAAUUACUGGGCGUAAAGGGCGCGUAGGCGGCCACCGCAAGUCGAUUGUGAAAUCUCCGGGCUUAACCCGGAAAGGUCAACCGAUACUGCGGGGCUAGAGUGCAGAAGGGGCAACUGGAAUUCUCGGUGUAGCGGUGAAAUGCGUAGAUAUCGAGAGGAACACCUGCGGCGAAGGCGGGUUGCUGGGCUGACACUGACGCUGAAGUGCGAAAGCUAGGGGAGCGAACGGG
rnacentral:rRNA from 1 species